rnacentral:rRNA from 1 species
AGCGAACGCUGGCGGCAGGCCUAACACAUGCAAGUCGAACGGUCCUUCGGGACAGUGGCGGACGGGUGAGUAACGCGUGGGAACGUGCCCUAGGUUCGGAACAACUCAGGGAAACUUGAGCUAAUACCGAAUGUGCCCUACGGGGGAAAGAUUUAUCGCCUUUGGAGCGGCCCGCGUCUGAUUAGCUAGUUGGUGAGGUAAAGGCUCACCAAGGCUACGAUCAGUAGCUGGUCUGAGAGGAUGAUCAGCCACACUGGGACUGAGACACGGCCCAGACUCCUACGGGAGGCAGCAGUGGGGAAUCUUGCGCAAUGGGCGAAAGCCUGACGCAGCCAUGCCGCGUGAAUGAUGAAGGCCUUAGGAUUGUAAAAUUCUUUCACCGGGACGAUAAUGGCGGUACCCGGAGAAGAAGCCCCGGCUAACUUCGUGCCAGCAGCCGCGGUAAUACGAAGGGGGCUAGCGUUGCUCGGAAUUACUGGGCGUAAAGGGCGCGUAGGCGGACAGUUU